UUGAACGCUGGCGGCAGGCCUAACACAUGCAAGUCGAACGGUAACAGGAAACAGCUUGCUGUUUCGCUGACGAGUGGCGGACGGGUGAGUAAUGUCUGGGAAACUGCCUGAUGGAGGGGGAUAACUACUGGAAACGGUAGCUAAUACCGCAUAACGUCGCAAGACCAAAGAGGGGGACCCUCGGGCCUCUUGCCAUCGGAUGUGCCCAGAUGGGAUUAGCUUGUUGGUGGGGUAACGGCUCACCAAGGCGACGAUCCCUAGCUGGUCUGAGAGGAUGACCAGCCACACUGGAACUGAGACACGGUCCAGACUCCUACGGGAGGCAGCAGUGGGGAAUAUUGCACAAUGGGCGCAAGCCUGAUGCAGCCAUGCCGCGUGUAUGAAGAAGGCCUUCGGGUUGUAAAGUACUUUCAGCGGGGAGGAAGGGAGUAAAGUUAAUACCUUUGCUCAUUGACGUUACCCGCAGAAGAAGCACCGGCUAACUCCGUGCCAGCAGCCGCGGUAAUACGGAGGGUGCAAGCGUUAAUCGGAAUUACUGGGCGUAAAGCGCACGCAGGCGGUUUGUUAAGUCAGAUGUGAAAUCCCCGGGCUCAACCUGGGAACUGCAUCUGAUACUGGCAAGCUUGAGUCUCGUAGAGGGGGGUAGAAUUCCAGGUGUAGCGGUGAAAUGCGUAGAGAUCUGGAGGAAUACCGGUGGCGAAGGCGGCCCCCUGGACGAAGACUGACGCUCAGGUGCGAAAGCGUGGGGAGCAAACAGGAUUAGAUACCCUGGUAGUCCACGCCGUAAACGAUGUCGACUUGGAGGUUGUGCCCUUGAGGCGUGGCUUCCGGAGCUAACGCGUUAAGUCGACCGCCUGGGGAGUACGGCCGCAAGGUUAAAACUCAAAUGAAUUGACGGGGGCCCGCACAAGCGGUGGAGCAUGUGGUUUAAUUCGAUGCAACGCGAAGAACCUUACCUGGUCUUGACAUCCACGGAAGUUUUCAGAGAUGAGAAUGUGCCUCGGGAACCGUGAGACAGGUGCUGCAUGGCUGUCGUCAGCUCGUGUUGUGAAAUGUUGGGUUAAGUCCCGCAACGAGCGCAACCCUUAUCCUUUGUUGCCAGCGGUCCGGCCGGGAACUCAAAGGAGACUGCCAGUGAUAAACUGGAGGAAGGUGGGGAUGACGUCAAGUCAUCAUGGCCCUUACGACCAGGGCUACACACGUGCUACAAUGGCGCAUACAAAGAGAAGCGACCUCGCGAGAGCAAGCGGACCUCAUAAAGUGCGUCGUAGUCCGGAUUGGAGUCUGCAACUCGACUCCAUGAAGUCGGAAUCGCUAGUAAUCGUGGAUCAGAAUGCCACGGUGAAUACGUUCCCGGGCCUUGUACACACCGCCCGUCACACCAUGGGAGUGGGUUGCAAAAGAAGUAGGUAGCUUAACCUUCGGGAGGGCGCUUACCACUUUGUGAUUCAUGACUGGGGUG
rnacentral:rRNA from 1 species